AAGCGGCACACGUGCCUCAAAUCCUUUCCUCCCCACUUUUUGGUCCUUUACACCGAGAGCAUGUCAAAAACCCGCAACAGUAUCUAGGCGCUUAAGACCCUAUUGUGUGUGUGUGUGUGUGUGUUUGUUUGUUUAUACAUAACAGGAUGACCAGUCCCCUCCCCUCCCCUCCUCUCCUCUCCCCGUAUCUCUUUUUGCUUCUUACUUUAAGAGCUUGAAUAACCAACUCUUUAUUCUCUCAAGGGCUUCUGUCCCUCAAGAUGCCAUAGAGUCAUCUGAAGCUUGAGAGUUUAGGGACUGAGAGCCACAGUAAAGAGGAAACGGAAGAGAAGGGCUGCAGGGAGAGAAUAGCUGCAAGGGGAGAGGGCUCCAGGGAGAGGUGACCCGGGGAAGGGGAGCUGCAGGGGGAGGGGGACUGUAGGGGGAGGGGUCUGCUUCUUGGAGAAUUCCAUCAUUGACUCACCUCGGCAGACUGGGCAAAUUCUGGGGCAGAGAAGGGUUUGGACAUGAGAAGGGAGCUGGCGAGGGCAGAUACUUGGCAUGGAGCUGGGGUACUUGAGACUAGACAUCCUCAGUGGGCUUAUAAAAAUUAAGCUGGCCGGGCGGUGGUGGCGCACGCCUUUAAUCCCAGCGCUUGGGAGGCAGAGGCAAAGCAAUCUCUGAGUUUGAGGCCAGCCUGGUCUACAGAGUGAGAGUUCUAGGAUUGCCAAGUCUAUACAGAGGAACCUUGCCUCGAAAAACAAUACAACAAAAAAUCAUAGAGCUGGUAUGGUGGCCCAUACCUGUGAUUUUAGCGACUGCGAAGUGAUGCUAGAAAGAUCAGGAUUCCAAGCUAGCCUUGUCUACUUGAGACAAACAGAACACCUGCCUCACAACAAAACAACCCAGCCACUCAUUCCGGAGUCUGAAGGGAAGAAGGUCACUCUUUCCAAUGUGCACAACCAGACAUUCCAGGAAUGGCACCAGAAUUACAGACAUUGUUUUAUUUAA